CAAUAGCGUAUAUUAAAGUUGUUGCGGUUAAAAAGCUCGUAGUUGGAUUUCUGCUGAGGACGACCGGUCCGCCUCCUGGGUGAGUAUCUGGCUUGGCCUUGGCAUCUUCUUGGAGAACGCUACUGCACUUAACUGUGUGGUGCGGUAACCAGGACUUUUACUUUGAGGAAAUUAGAGUGUUUCAAGCAGGCGUGCGCCUUGAAUACAUUAGCAUGGAAUAAUAAGAUAGGACCUUAGUUCUAUUUUGUUGGUUUCUAGAGCUGGGGUAAAGAUUAAUAGGGAUAGUUGGGGGCAUUCGUAUUUAACUGUUAGAGGUGAAAUUCUUGGAUUUGUUAAAGACGGACUACUGCGAAAGCAUUUGCCAAGGAUGUUUUCAUUGA
rnacentral:rRNA from 1 species